AUAAUACUCCCUCCGUCCGGAAUUACUUGUCAUCAAAAUGGAUGUGUCUAGAACUAAAAUAUAUCUAGAUACAUCCAUUUCAAUGACAAGUAUUUUCGGACGGAGGAAGUAGUAG
rnacentral:pre_miRNA from 1 species